rfam:Felis catus isolate Cinnamon breed Abyssinian chromosome C1, whole genome shotgun sequence.
GCCUGGGUGGCUCAGUCGGUUAAGCGUCCGACUUUGGCUCAGGUCAUGAUCUCGCGGUCCGUGGGUUCGAGCCCCGCGUCGGGCU